rnacentral:rRNA from 1 species
UACGAAGGGGGCUAGCGUUGUUCGGAAUUACUGGGCGUAAAGCGCACGUAGGCGGAUCGGUCAGUUAGGGGUGAAAUCCCGGGGCUCAACCCCGGAACUGCCUUUAAUACUGCCGGUCUAGAGUUCGAGAGAGGUGAGUGGAAUUCCGAGUGUAGAGGUGAAAUUCGUAGAUAUUCGGAGGAACACCAGUGGCGAAGGCGGCUCACUGGCUCGAUACUGACGCUGAGGUGCGAAAGCGUGGGGAGCAAACAGG